UGAAUACGAGACGCUAAGGCGUCGAAGUAGUGUAUGUCAUACUUCCAAGAAAAGCUUGCACUGUCAUAAGUAAAAAAUGCCUGUACCAUAACCGACACAGGUGGGUAGGUAGAGUAUACUAAGGGGCGCGAGAUAACUCUCUCUAAGGAACUCGGCAAAAUAACUCCGUAACUUCGGGAGAAGGAGUACCUUAUUCUAUAAGGUUGCAAUAACAAGAUCCAAGCGACUGUUUAUCAAAAACACAGGUCUCCGCUAAGUCGUAAGACGAUGUAUGGGGGCUGACGCCUGCCCAGUGCCAGAAGGUUAAAGAAGUCGGUUAGCAUUAGCGAAGCUGGUAACUGAAGCCCUGGUGAACGGCGGCCGUAACGAUAACGGUCCUAAGGUAGCGAAAUUCCUUGUCGGGUAAGUUCCGACCCGCACGAAAGGCGUAAUGAUUUGGAUACUGUCUCGGAGAGGGGCUCGGUGAAAUAGACUUGUCUGUGAAGAUGCGGACUACCUGCACCAGGACAGAAAGACCCUAUGAAGCUUUACUGUAACUUGAAAUUGAAAUUGGACUUUAUUCGCGCAGUAUAGGUGGGAGGUGUUGAUUAUAAUCUUGCGGGAUUAUUGGAGCCAUCAGUGAGAUACCACUCUUGUAAUGUUAGAUUUCUAACUUUGAAUCAUUAUCUGGUCAAAGGACAGUUUCAGGCGGGCAGUUUGACUGGGGCGGUCGCCUCCCAAACGGUAACGGAGGCGUACAAAGGUUUCCUCUGAACGGGUAGAAAUCGUAUCUAGAGUGUAAAGGCAUAAGGAAGCUUGACUGUGAGACCUACAAGUCGAACAGGGACGAAAGUCGGUCUUAGUGAUCUGACGGUACUGAGUGGAAAGGCCGUCACUCAACGGAUAAAAGUUACUCUAAGGAUAACAGGCUGAUCUCCCCCAAGAGUUCACAUCGACGGGGAGGUUUGGCACCUCGAUGUCGGCUCAUCGCAUCCUGGGGCGGUAGUACGUCCCAAGGGUUGGGCUGUUCGCCCAUGAAAGCGGUACGCGAGCUGGGUUCAGAACGUCGUGAGACAGUUCGGUCCAUAUCCGGUGUAGGCGUUAGAAUAUUGAGAGGAGCCUUCUUUAGUACGAGAGGACCGAGAAGGACAUACCUCUGGUGUACCAGUUAUCGUGCCAACGGUAAACGCUGGGUAGCUAUGUAUGGAGUGGAUAACCGCUGAAAGCAUCUAAGUGGGAAGCCCACCUCAAGAUAAG
rnacentral:rRNA from 1 species